ensembl:lncRNA
UUUCUAUCCUGCAGACUCGUCUGCCCGAAGGAUCUUGGGGCCAUGGAGACGUUCUUCGCGUUGAAGAUGCCAUAGAGCCUCAUUCUUUCUGCUUGCACUCUUUAUGACUUUGAAGGAGGGGAGAAAAAGCCUUCUACUCCCAAGGGUAAGGUCACUUGGACCUUGUGUGCUUUAGUCCGGUGAUGUCAGCGGAGGAUCCCGACUCGUCGAGGUUCCCCGUCGGCCCCCGGUCUGGAGGCACAGGUCUCUAGUGAGCAGCGCCUGGUUGUCGCCAUCGACAGCCAACGAAGCAACAGACGCAAGAAGCAACCAAAACAAACAAAGCCACCAAAAACUUCUCUCUCUUCCCCUUUUCCCGGUGGCUUCUGGUUGUCUGUUGUCUUGGUUGGUGGGUCGAGGGUAGCCAUUCGUAAAACACACCCCGACAGUUUCUGAUAUGCUGUACGCUUGAUUUCCUUACAAAAAAAAAUGAAUAAAAAUAGCAAAAGCUGUAACGGAAA